UGGCUGUGGGGCCACUAGGAGGUACAGGCCUGAAGUUGCUGUUGAAGGUGGUUCUGACCCUGGUGCUCUCUCAGGUGGUGGAGGUGGUAAUGUAAGUUGAGCUGGAGUUUUCUUAUUUUUUUCCUUUAUCUUAUCAUUACAGUCUAUUGUGAUACAUAAGUUUCUAAGUGCUUUAUUAUUUUGUUGGCUUGUUAUUACCAUAAAUGAUGUCUCUGCAUACUGUUUUGUUCAGCACUGGUGUUGAGAUUUACCUUCUUAAAGACAUGGAGCUGGACAUUGUUGCUUUUCCCUGCUGGAUGUGUUCCCUGGUGUAACUGGUACAAAGGGGUUUUUCUUUUCUCUAGGCAUUGAUACAAGAGGUUUUUUCUUCUUUUUUUGUAUUUCCAAAUAACACUGCUUUGAGCAAAUGGGUUUAAGUUUAGGGCAGCCUCAGCAAUGGAGCAAGAGCCUGUCUCAAAAUAAAAAAGGAAAAGGACCAUGGAUGUAGCUCAAUGGUAAAGUGCCCCUGGUUCAACCCCAGUAACAAAAAACAAACAACCUCCCCCCAAACAAACAAAAAACCAACAACUAAAAAAACAGACCUGAAUGGCAUUUACCCAUCUAAAGAAACUUAAAUAGUCCUUUCCAACAUUAUAUGGCCCAGGAGAAAUCAGACUGCACUGGUUUGAAAAAUGCAGGCUAGGCAUAUCACAGGACUAGAAAGCUGAGGGGUUGCUGGGGACUAGCAGGAGGGUGGGGAAGGCAGUGGUCAUGGAUACCAAAUUCAGGAAAAUAUUCUGGAACUACAUAGUGGUGACCAGUGCACAGUUUAGAGAAUGUACUCAAUGCCAGUAAACGAAAUAUUUUAAAACAUAAAAAUUUCAAUUUUGAAAGAAGCUAAUUAUGCAAAAAUAAAUAAAUACAUAAAAUAAAAAUAAUGAAUAAAUAAAUGGCAGGGGAGAGGAAGGGAGACUCUGGGUUGGUCUCAGUAAGUGGUGCUGGCUGAGGGGCCAGCAGGGGUUGUUGGUCUGGAGGUGCCAUUGCAGGUGUUUUAGCGCCAGCUCUCUCUCAGGUAGUGGAUGUGGUGGAACUUGAGCUGGAGUUUCCACAAGCACCAGAGGUUGCCCUGUAGCUGCAAGAGGAGUACAUAUCAAGAGACUAUCCCUGUUCCUUGCAGGGAUAAUAUAUUUCCCACUGCCUUUCACACAGUUCCACCCACAAACCACCCUGGCAGUGUUCCUAGAAUGCACACAGUGACAGUUUCUCCUGCCCCGCCCAUUCCUGGAUGAUAUGCUCUGCAUGUCCAUCCCUGUCCCACUCUGACACACUCAUAUGCCCCCACCUCAGUUUUUCUUACCUUCUGCUGAUCCUCCGUGGACUCCAGGUUUUUCUCUCAAUGUUGGGCCUGGUGGCCUUGGUCCUCCAUGUUGGCUCCUAUCAUAGUGACCUGGCUGUGGAUAUUACCAAGUGGAUAGUGAGGCAAGUGCAAGUUAAGGAGUGAGGAGACACCCAAGAGGGAAGAGGGGGGCAGCAGUAUGAGAGGCCUGUCUUUUCUACCAUGAUGUUGGUUUUAUUGGCAUCCCACAGUUCAGAGGAGCAGGCUGAAGCUCAGAGAGGUUCAGUUCCAGGACUCAGCUGUAUGUGACCUUGUCACCCUGGACAGGCUUUACCUUCCCAGUAUUAGGUCCAUUUCCUGUUGGGUGGAGAAACUCGAGAUGGUAGACAUGGAAGAGGGGGAGUCAUAGGGUUAGGCGGGCUCCAGAGUCUCCUCUAAGCUCUUCAGGGAGUAUGCCCAGGACAGAGAUACUGUGCAGGUAUCAUAUACCUCUGGAGCCACCUGUGCCUUUUUGGUUGGGACAUUGAGGAAACAUAGAGUCAGUGCCAAACUGACCCACCAGAAGUGUCUGGGAUGGAGUUCAGUGCAAUAUCCAAAGCAAAUAGGGGCUUGUCCCACAGAGGGACAGGAGAGCCCCAGUAGAGCAGUGGCUGGCAGAGUUCAAAGUGGAAUUGCUGAGGGGAUAGUUAGAAACACAGCAGCUUCAGGCCAGUUUGUUAGCUGAGCAGAGGUGGAAGCUCCGUGUUUUAGGAGCUUAUCCCCUGAGUCCCACCAGCACAUCACCUUCUGGAGAUGGGAAAAACUGGCUCAUCCCAGACAGGAGGGUCCCUGUGUGAGGACAGCCAAGACUUCAUUCUCUGUGGUAUCCUUGUGAUGGUUCCAAGAGUGAAUGAGGUCCAGGUCCUAUAGCUCUGAAAGUCUGAAUGACUGUGGAAACCAGGUCCUACUGGAAGGUGAUGAGGCCCUGGGGCCCCAGCACCUGCUUUCACAGUCUGGGGUGUGUUCCUUGAGACACAAGUACCAGAGAAAUGGACCAAUUGGUACAAGUUCCUGGUGUUUUGGCUAAAUGCAGCCCUACUAAUCCUGAUGAUGUGUAAGACUUGGAGAGUGUGUGGAAGGACAGUCAGGCCACUGACACCUAGACAUCUGGGUCUAGGAGUUAUGGUCAGUUGGAUGGCAGAAUGCAAAUCAUCUGAAAAAUUAAAGUGAAAUAGUGUUUGUGUCACUGUUCUGAUAUUGCCAUAAAUAUGGGAAAAGUGAUCUUGCAUGAGUCCAAGGCUGAGGCUGGCAGAGAGGGUGGAAUGGGUGAGGAGUUGGUGUUCAGAUUCCUCAUGGUGUAGGACUAUGCCCUCCAUAUCCUGGCCCUACCAGGAAGGUGGUCCUGGUGGUGUCUGUGCUCUUAUUUGCUUCUCAUCUCCUCUAGGCUCUGCCAGUGGAGUCUCCUUUGUCCCACACUUACCCUGAGGGCCAGCUCUUGCCCAGUGGUGCUUGGCCCUGGCUCUUCCUCCCUUGACAUAGAGUUUAUGCUGCAGCUCCAGUGCUUGUGGAGGAUAACUUGUGGAAAACAUGGAAGACAGUACGUGGUAGCUGGCAGGGAGCCCCAGACCCUGCUGGCCUCCAUUCAGGGUAUUUCUGCCCCUUGUGACCUUCUACUCCCCAGACCUCAUACAGACCAUUCGUACCAGGCUUCUACCCUAAGAGGACAGGAAAUGACCCUGGAGGCCCAGGAUAUACCCUGGACACUCCCUUUCCUCACCUACAUCCCUGCUUUGGGGGUGACCAUGACAGGACAUCAGGCUCACAAGCUCACAUAACUGCUCCUGCCUUAGGCCUCUUCCCCCAUACUGAGGGGGAAGGUGGUGGGGCUCUGCAGGACUACUCUCAGUGAUGGUUUCUCCUGGAUGUAUCUCCCCAGGGCUACCAGGUGUGGGUCUUGGGCUACUUGGAGGAGUACCACUUGGAGGAGUACCACUAGAGGGGCACUGGGAGUGUGAUUGAAAGCAACAUAGCCAUGUCUUAGGGUCCCUUGACUUGACCCCUCUUCUAGGUAUACCCACAUUUGUCCCUCUGGGCUACUGUUGGCCCUCCUCCAACUCCAUGACAUUUCCAUAUGUGUACACAGCUAACACCAACACUGUCCCCCACAUCACAUGCCAGGCCUGGGUGUAGCCAGGGUCCCAGCUCUGAGGAGACACAGCUAGGUUUAAACCCAGCUCCUCUUCCUGUCCUCUCUUGUGACCUUGGACAAGUCUUCAUGUUUCUAAGCCUUCCCCUGCCUAUGUGAGAUAACACUUAGAAACCAGGUUGUCACAUCUCUGUAAUGCACAAAAGUAGAGAUAAAAUAUGGAAACAGGUGGGAUGUCACAUAGAGUAGAGCUAAAAACAGGCCUAGCCACUUGCCUUGUGACUUUGAAAAUGCCAUUUUCCUUCCUGGCCUUCUUUCUCUGCAUCUUAAGAGAGUUGAAAUGUAUUUAGUGGGGAUAUCCUCACCUCCCAGAGCCACCCACCUUGUUCUCUUUGGGAUGAGAGUAAGCACAUCUCUGUUCACCUUAGGGACCUCCCAACAAUGAAAUUCUGGUCUUUUCCCCUUUCCAUUCUCAGGGCCCAGUCAAGGUACUUGGAGAUGGGCUGCUCCUGUUCCAUAGAAGCGUGGUCUCCAGUCUCUUCUUUCUUUUUUUUUUUUUUUUUUUGGUCUCAGGGAGUGAUCCCAGGGGUGCAUAGUCACCAAGCCACAUCUCCAACCUGUUUUUCUGUUUUAUUUUGAGACAGGUUGUCACAGUGUUGCUGAGAUUAACUUUGAACUUGUGAUCUUCCUUAGCCUCCCAAGUUGCUGGUAUUAUAGUCAUGUACCACCAUGCCUGGCAUCUUUGUCCUUUUCCAUGUUACCUCCACCUCCUGGGCCCCCAUUUUCUUUGACCUACUCUCUGAUCUUCACAUGUAUGCACCUAUUGAGAGGCUGAAAAGAAAUAUUGUUACAUGGCAAAGGCAGGCAAGUGUCCCCAGGAUCAUGGAAGUUCUUUUUCCAAAGGAAAUCCUAUGGGAGAUGGAUGAGUCCUGAGCUAGGAAGUCAUGAUCCUGCCUUUUCCUCUGGAGUCUGCCUCUGUCCUGUUCACUGGGCCAGUCCCUGCCUGACACUGGGCCUCAGUUUCCCAAAUGUGCAGUGAAUGGUUAGAGAGAAACUUACACAUAGUCCUUUCUGGCAGGUGCUGCAUAGUUUUCCAGGCUGGGUAGGGUUGGUCAGGGUGGUGCUUCAGGGUUCCAUGUUACUGUCUGCCCAGGAUGGGUGCAGGUGUACCCUGCUUGGUGUAGCCUGGCCUUGUGUUUAUAGAAUGUGUGUUAUCAUUGGCACAGGCAUGGAAAGAGUGCCACACAACACAUUCCCAGGUCUCCAUCCUUUCUCAACUGUGAGUUCCUUUUGUCCCAUCUCCUCAAAGUCAGAAAGUGUAAUCACUCUCUUUCAGCUGCAUGGAUGUGUGUGUGUGUGUGUGUGGGGGGGGCAGGACUGGAUCCCCAAAGCAAAUGUGAGGUUUUGUGUCUAUUAGAAGUGGGUUUGGAUGGGAGCCUGGUGAAGGCACCAGAUCCACAGAAAUAUACAUGACACUCUUGGCCCUGCCUCCUGAUAAGACAGGAAUAUAUAUUUCAUAGAGGAGGGAAGGGUCUGGCCUGAGUUCAUGCAGUGAUUUAAGUGGAAGCUGGGGCCUCAGUUGCAAUUAGAUUUGCCUACCCACUACAGAAAUACCAGAAUCAUAGAACAGAAGAAACAGAAAGAGGGAUAGAUCUUCUUUCUGCUGUAAAAGAAGUGGAGAUGGUGCUCAAUGCUGACCUGGAUGGCACCUGUGCAGUCACGUCACUGUCUUUCUGCCCCAGGCUCUCUGGAGCUGAUUUCCAUCUCUGAGUCUGUCCCUGGCCCCAGAUGCUGAAUUUCAGAAGGUUUUUUGAGGGAAAGGGAAAGAGAGUGCCAUACAGCUGUGUUGGCUCCAUGCAAGCUGAUCCCCUCAUCCUCACAUUCCUUCUGCUCCCUUCUCAUCAACUUGAGCAGGUCACUCUUAGCUGCAAGAGAGGUGAAGAAUGACAACCUUUUAGAGAGUAACUUGCUCUAGAAACCAGUCUUAGUUCUGAAGAAAUGGCCAAAGUGAAAACAUGUUCAAGAGCAGACUCUUUCCUUCCCUAGACCCCAAGAUGUCUUCUGGGGGUCCAGGCAGUGGUUUGUGUGUUACAAAACCAGUCUUGUCAUGCCUUCCUCACAGUGUGAUUUUCCCUGAAUCUGCAAGUUGCUCAAAAGAGAGUUUAUUCAUAAGAUGGCCAAGGUUGGUAGGGAGAGACCGCAGACUCAAAACCACCUCCCUAAGGUUUAGGGGCAUUAAUGUGACAAGAAAGUCAACGAAAGGUAAUUUGAGGAGAAGGAUUCAGUUGUCUGUGUGCAUAGGCAAUCUACAUAGCACUUUGGGGAGUUCAGAAAAUUGCCACAGUAACAUACUCUGAGGGUGGAGUUUUUAGCCUUUUGACAUCAAUAGCUUGCCCAUGGGACGCUUAUACAGGCUCAAAUGAAAGAGACAGGGGUUUCAGCUGCUUUGAGCUAAACAAAAAACUGCCAGUUUUUGAAAAGCAACUUAGGAAAACAUUAGCCUUGUGACCUGCAUGUUGAACUGUUAUCUAUAGCAAAGGUACUGGGAGUGUUGUAUUUUUAUCUGUAGGAGGUAUAGAAUUGGGGAUACAAAGAGAUAAUUAAAAGCAUGUGAAGUCAGAGUGCUCAUUCAGGUUUUUCUUCAGGUUCAUUGGAAGAGCAGAGAUGGGGAGGUGCAAUAGGGGAAAGGUCUGUGCAAAUUAGCAAGGAAACAAACAAAUAGUAACUUGUGAGGAAAUGACCAAGGCAAAGUACAUAGUUAAGCAAAGGGAAAUGGAAAGAAUAGCUCCCUAUGCACACAGAGAGUGUCAGCAUGCUAUGUAAAAAUGAAUGCCAGCCAUGUUUUAUUUACAAAUAAUGCAUGUGAACCAACAUGGUGAAGUAGAGCUGGCAGUAAUUAAGUUUGCUGAGAGUUACAAAUUAAAGCAAGGCAGGAUGGGAAAUCAGACAGAUGGUCUCUACAGUCCCAACAUGUGGUGUGAUGCAGUGGUGGAAAGCAAAGUUGCAGCAGAAAUAAAGCAGUGAGGAGUAAGCCAGAAGAUGGCCAAAUUCCCAAAGCCAAAACUAUUAGAAAUGGCAGGCAGCUCAAUAAAAACACAUCGACAGGGAGGGGCUUCAGUUUGUGUCUUGAGCAUUAGAUCAAGUUAAAAGAGAACAAAACCUUGGAUUUAGUAAGUAGAUUGUUGCUUGAAUAAACAGAAAAUAACAUUGGUUUGCAUGUUCAUGGAACCACUGCAAAAAUUAAUUAUAUAUUUGGCCACAAAAAAAUCUUAACCAACACAGAGAAUUAGAGGAAAAAGCCAUAUUUUUAUCAUAAUCUAAUAAGAUUAGUAUAAAUAAUAACAUGACCAGUAAAUUUUCAUUUAGAAUUCAAGAAAUACCCGUCUCAAAAACACUUGGAUUAAAGAGGACUGUCUAGACAGAUUUGAAAUCUAUUGAGAAAGCUCUGGAAAGAAAAGCCCUUAAUUCUCAAACUCCUGGGACAUAAACUGUAUUUAGUGGAAAAAUUAGACUAUGGGAAUUCUAUACUGAAAUAGCACAACAAAAGUAAAAGGACCUACAUGGUUUAAUUUCCAAAGGAAACUGGGAGGAAGUAACUGAUAAAGAUCAAAACAAAUUAAUGAGCUGGGAAAUCAAGAUGUAUUUAUAUUCAUAUUUUAGCAGAAAAGUGAGCAAUCCCACAAUGGGACCAUCUUCAACAGCAAAAUUUGAACUCAUCACAAAUUGCACUUUUUGUGCAAAGGAAGAAGGGAGUAGCAGACAUAUAGGAGAUGAUGCAUGAGAAGGAAAACCUAAGUACAGAUUAAGAUCGUGCAUGGGCAUGGAAGGGAAGGAUAAUUAAAGACAUACCAGACGGUAUUGUGCACCUGCCCAGCCAUCUGCACCCAUGACAGGCUUGCAGGACCAGCCUUGGUGGAAAGCCAUGUGGCAGCACCCAGGAAAAUGAAAAAUGCAAAUAUCCCCAGAAACUCAUACAUAGAAAUAAAAACACCAGUAAGUUCAAGUGUGUUUAUGGAGCAUUGUGUCAAAAAACUGGCAGCACAUUGCUGUAUGAGCAGGGAACAUUGUGGUCAUGUGCAUGUUGUACAUUAUUAAUGUGGAUAUCAGCCAGGAGAAGGAGUGGAGUCAAGCUGAGGAGGUGCCUUGAAGGAAUUGUCUCUCCUCACCCUGGAGUGGGAAAAGAAGAUUCAGAAAAAAGCAGUGAGAAAACAUCAGGAAACAUAGAGGAAUAUUCAUGAGAUGCUGAUGUUGAGGAAGGAGCACAUCAAGAUUUCUCACGUUGCUGAACCUUCAUUUAUGAAGCCUGUGCUGGCCGCAGGCUAAAGUCACCAAUACAAUUUCUGGCCAACUGUCACUGCAGCGACCAAUUGAGGAGUGGGCUGUGGAGCAAGCUAAGGGACUGCAACACACAGCCUUAUGCCCAGGGCUGUGCCUAUGGGACACUAAAACAUGCCAGUGGAAUCUCAUUGAGCAGAAGUCAGAGAAUGAACAUACACUCUUUCUGCUGUCCUCUGAUGAACACACGUGAAGAAAAUCAAGAACUGAUGCUGGAGCCAUCUUCUGGGGUCAUGGAGAGUGAACUGAAGGAGAUAUUCCAGUGUGGUUUGCAGCUUAUCAGGAAGAGGGAGAGAUUUAUCGGUGGACACAACAUCUUUGUUUGUAUGUGGUGCUGAGGUUCGAACCCGGGCCGCACGCAUGCCAGGCGAGCGCGCUACCACUUGAGCCACAUCCCCAGCCGGAAAAGUGAAAUCUUUGAAAGACAUCAGUGUUCCCAAGUCCAGUGGAUCAGUAAGAAGCAGCUGUACCUGACACUGAAAGUAGAGGAGUCCAAUGCCAGUUUCCUCCCGUUCUUUUUCAGAGCUGCAACAGUGAGACACCUUCAGUCCUCGGAUAUUCAAGACUUGUAGCUUCUUGAUAAUGCACCAAAAAUGCCAGUCUGGGAGUGGACUGAAGCCAUCCAGCUCCUGGGGUAAGUUAGAAGUGGAAAUCUCAUGAGUUGUUAGAAGUCUCAUAGAACACAAGUGGCAGGUAAGGCCAGAACAGGGGCUUCCAGAAAAAGGUAACCUUGAAUACUAAUGGGCAGUUGAGAAGGACCCAGCAUUCCCCUUGGCCUCCUCCUUGCCUCAGCAGGGAAUGAGCUUCCUGAGCUCAGGUUCAUCAUGAGGGCUUGGCCAGGUCUGGGAUUUGUGAUGGCAGAGAGCUGAUGGAGGGUUAUUCCAACUUGAGUAUUUUGAGAGAAAGAAUCACAAACCCUCUUCCUUUUCUUCAUUGAUUUAUGCUUGUUCAUACACUCAGUUUCCUUGCCUGAGGCAGAGUGUCCCCAGAUGCCUCAGUUGAUC